GCCACCCAGGGUUACCUUCUGUAUGACAAUGGCUCCCUGGUCCUGACUGAAUUUCUGCCGCCCAUUCUCCCGAAUCCUCUUAUCCCGUUCCUCCUCUUUCCGAAUCUCUCGCAUGAAGGUGGCUCGCAGUCGGCCCUGCCUGGCCCGCUCAGCACUUUGCACUAGAAUUAGGGCCUCGGUCCGGCCCAUUCCUCGAAAACUCUGACCAUAAGAGUGACAAAAGAAGAGGAAGCCAUGAGGAAACGCUGGUACCCAGGGUGACUGAGACAAAACGAACCCCAAGGAAUUGGAAUUUCCCCCAGGAAGAUCAUGGGGGAAGAAGGAAAGUGCUGGAAGCCUGCUGCCAGCCAGAGGGUGAGCUUGUGUCCCAGAAAAAGACACUUCAGAGUCGUGACAAUUGUUAGCCCACCGCGCAGGAAAGACGCAGACAACCGUGCUGGGUGGGCCUUUGAGGGGACUACUUAGUGAUGCAUAUUUCUGGUCCUCUAUGUAAACCUGAACCUCAUGUUAUGACCCUGAAGAUGAACUUGGAGUCACUUCUUUGUGCCUCUUC